rnacentral:rRNA from 1 species
AGAGUUUGAUCCUGGCUCAGGACGAACGUUGGCGGUGCGCUUCAUGCAUGCAAGUCGAGGGAGAAGCAACCGUUCCGUAAGGUUCGGUUGUGGAAACCGGCGAACGGGUGCGUAACACGUGAGAAACCUGCCCCAAAGACUGGGAUAGCCCAGGGAAACUUGGAUUAAUACCGGAUACUCUCUCCGGGCCGCAUGGCCUGGUGAGGAAAUGGUCCGCCGCUUUGGGAUGGUCUCGCGGCCUAUCAGGUAGUUGGUGAGGUAACGGCUCACCAAGCCGAAGACGGGUAGCUGGUCUGAGAGGACGAUCAGCCACACUGGAACUGAGACACGGUCCAGACUCCUACGGGAGGCAGCAGCAGGGAAUAUUGCACAAUGGGCGAAAGCCUGAUGCAGCGACACCGCGUGCGGGAUGACGGCCUUCGGGUUGUAAACCGCUUUCAGGAGGGAAGAAACUGACGGUACCUCCAGAAGAAGCUCCGGCCAACUACGUGCCAGCAGCCGCGGUAAUACGUAGGGAGCAAACGUUGUCCGGAUUUAUUGGGCGUAAAGGGCUCGUAGGCGGUUCAACAAGUCGGUCGUGAAAGCCCGGGGCUCAACCCCGGGACGCCGGUCGAAACUGUUGUGACUUGAGUUCGGUAGAGGUGAGUGGAAUUCUCGGUGUAGAGGUGAAAUUCGUAGAUAUCGGGAGGAAUACCGGUGGCGAAGGCGCCCCUCUGGACCGAUACUGACGCUGAGACGCGAAAGCGUGGGGAGCAAACAGGAUUAGAUACCCUGGUAGUCCACGCCGUAAACGAUGAACACUAGGUGUGGCGGACUGAUUCAUGUCUGCUGUGCCGUAGCUAACGCGUUAAGUUCUCCGCCUGGGGAGUACGCCGGCAACGGUAAAACUCAAAGGAAUUGACGGGGACCCGCACAAGCGGUGGAGCAUGUGGUUUAAUUCGAUGCAACGCGGAGAACCUUACCUGCCCCUUGACAUUGACAGAAUCCUGUAGAGAUACGGGAGUGCUUCGGCCUGGAAAACAGGUGCUGCAUGCUGUCGUCAGCUCGUGUCGUGAGAUGUUGGGUUAAGUCCCGCAACGAGCGCAACCCUUGUCCUUAGUUGCCAGCACUUCGGGUGGGAACUCUAGGGAGACUGCCGGUGACAAGCCGGAGGAAGGUGGGGACGACGUCAAGUCAUCAUGGCCCUUAUGGGCAGGGCUACACACGUGCUACAAUGGGGAGUACAGAGGGCCGCCAACCAGCGAUGGUGAGCCAAUCCCUUAAAGCUUCUCGUAGUCCGGAUCGGAGUCUGCAACUCGACUCCGUGAAGUCGGAAUCGCUAGUAAUCGCGAAUCAGAAUGUCGCGGUGAAUACGUUCCCGGGUCUUGUACACACCGCCCGUCACACCAUGGAAGUAGGUUGCACCAGAAGUAGGUAGCUUAACCCUCGGGAGGGCGCUUACCACGGUGUGGCUUAUGACUGGGGUGAAGUCGUAACAAGGUAGCC